rnacentral:rRNA from 1 species
UACGUAGGGGGCUAGCGUUGUCCGGAAUCAUUGGGCGUAAAGAGCGUGUAGGCGGUCCGGUAAGUCCGCUGUGAAAGUCGGGGGCUCAACCCUCGAAUGCCGGUGGAUACUGUCGGGCUAGAGUGCGGAAGAGGCGAGUGGAAUUCCUGGUGUAGCGAUGAAAUGCGUAGAUAUCCGGAGGAACACCGAUGGCGAAGGCAGCUUCCUGGCCCGUAUCUGACGCUGAGGUGCGAAAGCGUGGGGAGCGAACGGG